CAAGAUAGCAGGCCAUUCUAAGGUGACUCAAACCCUGCGACAGGAGGUUGUCCAGAUGAAGGUAAAAGGAAUGACCCUUUCAGCCACUGCAACAAAAAAGACCAACAGGUGUCACUAUAAACAAGUAGUGGUUGUGUUUUCUUAGAGCGGUAGUUCUCUGAGAGGGCUGAUGUGUGUGCUGUUCCUGGUGAUCUUCUGAUCCUGAUCCUCUUGCAGUUCCUGUGAAGUGUUGCUUUAAUUUGAUCAACUUCCAAAUUCCAGCCCAAAAAAUUGCCAGUGCUCUCAGGACAGAUUCAAAUUGCUUUGUUGCAGGCAUUGUAAUUACAACAAAAAAAGGUCUGGAAUUUUGUGUGAGACCAGAUGAGCCUUGGAUAAAGAUUAUAAUGGAGCAUCAGAAAUAUUAAUAUAUGUGACAGAGAUGCAAAAAUUAAUGCUGUUAUGGCUUAAUACAACUGUCUUCUUGUGAAUUUUUUUUUUUUUUUUUUUCUGCAUUGAUAUUACUGGGUGUUGAACUCGUUUAAAUGUAUGUAUGUUCAUGUAAAUCAGAAUAAAUACUCAUAGGGAAAGACAGAAAUACUGCAAGUAGCAUAUAAUAUAUAUAUUUAUACAGGAAAAAGUCCUAUUUCAGUCCUAUUUCUGGCAGACAAUCUUGAGAUUAGUUCUUUAAUUAAACACACCUGAACCAGUUCAUUGUCAAGGUCUUUGGGAUACAUAAAACAGUGUUAUGUUUUAUUGUUUUUGUUUCUUCAUGAGUAUGGCUCUCAGUUAAUGAGCAAAUAAACAGUAAUCAAGGUCUUUGGGUUUAUAUGUGAGUAAAGAGGUCAAGGUUGAACACCUGAUAUUUAGUGACAGCACAAUUCAAAUUUUAUCAUAAAACCUUCAGAUUUUAAUUUUUAGCCUGAAAUCAUGUUUUCAGUGAAGAAAAGUACUUGUAGCAAAGAGGACAAGGAUAAGGAGGAGCAAAAAAACACUCUUAUGCAAUAUUGAUGUCCAGAAAUGGGUUUAUCUGAAUGUCUUAAUAUGUAAUAUGUCUAUGUGAAGCUGCUCAGACGUUAUUCUGGACACAACAACUUUCUUCAUCUUCAAGCUCUACGGAACAUCUACAGAUUCUUUCUGUCAUUGUGAAGAAACACCCUGAAGAAUGAGAGGCCUGAUGUGUGUGCUGUUCCUGGUGAUCUUCUGCUCUGAGCAGACGACUUCAUAUCAUAAGGGCUUUCAUUUUGAAUAAAGACAAAAUAUAUUGUUUUCAGACAAAUACCCAUUCUCUUCAAAAACUAUUUUUUCAUCUCACCAACAGCUAUUGAAAAUGCAGUUCCUCAGAAGUGUUGCUUUGGUUUUAUUGACUUUCAGAUUCCAGCUAAAAAAACUA